AUUGAACGCUGGCGGCAGGCCUAACACAUGCAAGUCGAGCGAGCGGCGGACGGGUGAGUAAUGUCUGGGGAACUGCCCGAUGGAGGGGGAUAACUACUGGAAACGGUGGCUAAUACCGCAUACUAUCGGAUGUGCCCAGAUGGGAUUAGCUAGUAGGUGGGGUAAAGGCUCACCUAGGCGACGAUCCCUAGCUGGUCUGAGAGGAUGACCAGCCACACUGGGACUGAGACACGGCCCAGACUCCUACGGGAGGCAGCAGUGGGGAAUAUUGCACAAGGGGCGCAAGCCUGAUGCAGCCAUGCCGCGUGUGUGAAGAAGGCCUUAGGGUUGUAAAGUACUUUCAGCGAGGAGGCGUUACUCGCAGAAGAAGCACCGGCUAACUCCGUGCCAGCAGCCGCGGUAAUAC
rnacentral:rRNA from 1 species